rnacentral:tRNA from 1 species
GGAUAUAGCUCAGUUGGUAGAGUGCUUGCCUUGUACAAGGCCCUGGGUUCAAUCCCUAGCACCA